UUCGGAUCGGAGUCUGCAACCCGACUCCGUGAAGCUGGAUUCGCUAGUAAUCGCGCAUCAGCCAUGGCGCGGUGAAUACGUUCCCGGGCCUUGUACACACCGCCCGUCAAGCCAUGGGAGCCGGGAGUGCCUGAAGUCCGUGACCGCGAGGAGCGGCCUAGGGUAAGACCGGUGACUGGGGCUAAGUCGUAACAAGGUAAC
rnacentral:rRNA from 1 species